UGAUUAUAGCUGAAAUAGUCGAUACAUGGGGUUGUUGGACACUUUGAUGUAUGCUAACUCCUUUUUGUACUACAGCCCUGUUUGAUAGGCUGUGUCAAAGAUGAUUGGGUUUCUGUACCUCUGUUAUGUGGGUAAGAACAAUUGGAGUCUUAUGGAAUGGAUCAGUUGUACCUCUGUUAUGUGGUACACUCUGGAUCUUAAAUCAUUUAUAUUGUCUAUGGUUUUUAUGCUCUUUUCAGUUUCUUGAUCAUGUAACCUAAAACUAUUUGAGAGUUGUUUGUGUUUAGGAGUGUAAGAUCAUAUAUCAUGUAAUGUCAGUGGUGGUCUCUUUAUACUUUAUAUCAUAUGCAUUUGGUCUCAA